AUGACUCAUUUAUUCUAAAGGUUUAAUUCAGAAUUUAAAUCCUUCACUAAUCGUAAGACAUUGUUUAUGGUAUGAGCAAGGUUAUGCCAAGGUUCCUUCCGCUAGAGACCCAGGGGAGGGAGCUGGAUGAGAGUGCAUACCAGCUAGUAAAAGAAUGGGAUGAGACUCAUUUUCACUUGUGAAUUUUUAAAUCGUGGGUUUAUUUAUUCUUUCCAGAAAGCUGUGUUAGUUGGGUUGCUGAGAGUCCUUCUCCAAGGCUUUGGAGGCUGCUCACCACUGCAAAAACUUGUCAUACCCCUUCUGGAGGAAAGUAGGCUUUUAUUUUAAACAAAAACAAGGGAGAGAACAUCAACAGAACAGUAGUCAGUGUUAACUGCCAGUAACUAGAACAGCUAAUAGUAAGGAAAAUUAGGCUAGUAGAAUAACAAGCUUAAAUAGUGUAAUGCUUAACUAGCUGGCAUCUUGUCACAGUGAUAGGCAGAGUGGCUCGCAGCCAGAUCUGCCACCCUCAGCGGUGAUAUUUUCUGCCACUGCUGCUGCUGAUCCCACGGCCGCUGUUGGCGGCAGGAGGUCUGUAGUCCUGUGAAGGAGGCAGGGACGGAGUGGCAGACAGGUCACACUCUGAGAAUUUAGACAGGAUGGGAUUGGGGAGAAGCAGCUGUGCAUUUGAGAAAAAUACAGAUGAAAACAUUUCCGUUUAUCAUUACUUCAGGGAUAUGGGAUUAACCCAGAAAAAAUAUUCUAGAGGGAAGGAAAAGUGAUGGGCCACGAAUGAAAGGAUGAGAGGGCUGUGAUUCACCUUACUGGCAGUCUAAAAGAUACGUGUGUAGUGUAAAGCGAGAUAUUUAGCUACAUCUCUUAUCGGAGGAGAGAGAGAGGCCUCGCCACAGAGUGAUUCAUCCCAUCCCGAGACAGGUGCCACCACCCUGGUGAAAAGGAAUAUAUACCUGGAGUGCAGGUCCAAUCGAGAAAAGUGAAGUAAAUGUCCCAACUCUUACAUCCACCGAAAGAGUCGUUACGGGGAACUAGCCGUGCAUCUAACGCAGACUGCUGCAGCGAAGGUAUGUAAAAUAGAAGAUGCGUUGCUUUUAAAACUUUUACCGCUUAGGUUUUCUCAUACAUGUGUAAUGCACAUCUGUAAGCAAAUCAUCUUUGGAAAAAAUAGAUGGAAAAACCGCAAUGAG